rnacentral:misc_RNA from 1 species
UGCACUUUUGGUGCGGCCAACCGACAUGGGGCUGUCUCUUCACUCUCCCUCCUGUCAUUGAAUUUGUCGGGUUGGGACGCUUGUGAUCGGUUGCCUGUGCGGUUCUACCCUCUUGUGGGUAGCGAAGUCGUCCCUCGAUUGAUAUUUGCUUGCCCUACUGACAUUUUGUUGUCGUUUGGGCAGCCGAAAUGUUGGCGAAAUCCUUGUGUUGGUGCGCGGUUGAAUGCCUUGUUGCUAUCGCUUGGAUUUUUGCCGGCUCUCAUGGAUGCGGUGUCUACUGCUAGCUCUGCGGGACUUUGCCCCGCAGACUUCGGGAGGUCCCAUGUAUGAAUCAUUGCUCUUAUACGCUCUGUCGUGUUGCCGGUGGCGACACACAGAUUGUGUUCUAUUGUGUUGUCGUUGGCGACACAUCCGAACAGUGUGUCCAGAGCGUGCUCACGUGCAUGUGGAAUGCCUCUCCGUUCGUAUGAGUAGCGAUUUCCGGUUUUGCGUCAUGCGAAGGCCCGCCCGUCCGGGUCGGUGCUGGAGCUGACGUGCCGGCUCUCGUUUAAGACGUGC